CAGCCUCCGCGGUAAUACCGGCGGCCCGAGUGGCGGUCACUAUUAUUGGGCUUAAAGCGUCCGUAGCCGGGUUGGGAAGUCCUCCGGGAAAUCUGGCCGCUUAACGGUCAGAAUGCCGGAGGAUACUCCCAGCCUAGGGAGCGGGAGAGGCCGAGGGGAUUCCCGGGGUGGGGGGGAAAUCCUAUAAUCCCGGGAGGACCACCUGUGGCGAAGGCGCUCGGCUGGAACGCGUCCGACGGUGAGGGACGAAGGCCAGGGGAGCAAACCGGAUUAGAUACCCGGGUAGUCCUGGCUGUAAACGAUGCGGACUUUGUGUCGGACAAGCUAUGAGCUUGUCCGGUGCCGGAGGGAAACCGUUAAGUCCGCCGCCUGGGGAGUACGGCCGCAAGGCUGAAACUUAAAGGAAUUGGCGGG
rnacentral:rRNA from 1 species